rnacentral:rRNA from 1 species
AACGUAGGAGACGAACGUUAUCCGGAUUUACUGGGCGUAAAGGGCGUGUAGGCGGUUUGUUAAGUCUGGCGUGAAAGCUCUCGGCUAAACCGGGAGAGGUCGUUGGAUACUGGCGAACUAGAGGAUGGUAGAGGCGUGUGGAAUUCCGGGUGUAGUGGUGAAAUGCGUAGAGAUCCGGAGGAACACCAGUGGCGAAGGCGACACGCUGGGCCAUACCUGACGCUAAAGCGCGACAGCAUGGGGAGCAAACGGG